UACGAAGGGGGCUAGCGUUGCUCGGAAUCACUGGGCGUAAAGGGUGCGUAGGCGGGUCUUUAAGUCAGGGGUGAAAUCCUGGAGCUCAACUCCAGAACUGCCUUUGAUACUGAGGAUCUUGAGUUCGGGAGAGGUGAGUGGAACUGCGAGUGUAGAGGUGAAAUUCGUAGAUAUUCGGAAAGAACACCAGUGGCGAAGGCGACUUACUGGACACAUAUUGACGCUGAGGUGCGAAAGCGU
rnacentral:rRNA from 1 species